rfam:Dipodomys ordii ctg_broad_rename0037547, whole genome shotgun sequence.
GGGAAUGUGGCUUAGUGGUAGAGUGCUUGCCUAGCAUGUAUGAAGCCCUGGGUUCAAUUCCUCAGUGCCA